UGAAAUGACACUCAUACACCGUUGGCCUC
rnacentral:piRNA from 1 species